rnacentral:miRNA from 1 species
AGCCUGGGUGACAGCCGGACG